UGGGUGAACCUGCGGAAGGAUCAUUA
rnacentral:ncRNA from 3 species